UUUCAUUCUUAAUUUUCUUCUCUCAUGAAAUUCCCCUUUUCUCAAUUUUCCAAAUUUAUCUAGCUCUUUAAGCUUUGAUUCCAAAAAAUAUUUUUUUCUUUACUGCUUAUAAAUUUUUAUCAUUGAAGAAUCAAAGUUUCAAUUUGUCAGGAUUUCAUAAUUUUUCGUAGAUACAUUUAUAUCAUUGAAGAAUCAAGAUCGGAGCUUUGCAUUGUACUAUUUUGUUUUGUGGUUUAAUAUUAAAGUUAGUACUUUCUUAUUUUGAGGUUUUAAUUUUUGUUCUUAGUUUUUGAAAUUAAAGUUAGUUCUUGUUUUCGUGCAAUUACAGAGUCCUUUAUAAUACCGUCAGUGUAUUUACAUUCAACAAAAAAUUGGGUGUGCAUCAGUUUAUUUUAAGGCACAUUUUGAAGUAGAAUUUGUAUUCUUUUAGUGGCGAUUUGAGUUUAGGUAGUAAUUUUAUGAUAUCUGCGUUAAAUUUUCAAGUGUUAUGAGCUGUUUGGGAGUUUAAAGAAGCGAAUGGGUACUGGCUUUCCUAAUAAUUGUUUGAUUUUUGAUUUUUUUUGGAUUUUAUUAUUGGUAUUGUAAAAUUAUUAGAACGUACGUACUAAAUUCUAGUUUCUUUGGGGGGAAUUUUUAGUAAUAUUUUGGAGUGAAUGUAUCCUUCUGGAAUGAAUUAUGGGCGUGAAAGUGGCACAUUGUUGAUUCCCGCCCGUUUUGUGUGGUCAUAUGGUGUGAAGAGCGUGUAUAUCACUGGCUCGUUUACUGGGUGGACCGAAUGGCCUAUGACUCCUCUUGAAGGAUGCCCUACCGUGUUUCAGACCAUUUGUAGCCUGCCUUCCGGUUAUCACCAGUACAAAUAUAUUGUGGAUGGUGAAUGGCGACAUGAUGAGCACCAGCCUUGUAUCAAUAGUAACUUCGGAACUGUGAACACUGUCCUUUUAGCCAGGGAAUGCGAUUACCUUCGGGCAAUUGUAAGUCAGCAAAUGCCUUCUGGUUCUAGCAUGGAUGUUGAUAAUGCAGCCCUUCAGCGUGUGGUCCAAGUAUCAGAAGGUACAUUGCAUGAGCCAUUUUGUAGAAUUUCAGAAGAUGAUUUACAGAUGUCACGACAUCGUAUAGCUGUAUUCAUGUCCACACACCUGGCUUAUGAGUUGCUUCCGGAAUCAGGCAAGGUAAUUGCUUUGGAUGUUGACCUACCUGUGAAGCAAGCAUUUCAUAUUCUGCACGAUCAGGGAAUACCUAUGGCCCCUUUAUGGGACUUCAGCAAGGGGAAGUUUGUUGGAGUUCUUAGUGCACUGGAUUUUAUUUUAAUUAUGAGGGAGCUUGGAAAUCGUGGUUCAAAUUUGACGGAGGAAGAACUUGACACAAAUACAAUAUCUGCUUGGAAAGAAGCAAAAACAUAUCUGAACAGACAGCUUACUGAACAACAGGUUGCAGUUUCAAGACGUCUUGUGCACGCUGGGCCAGAUGAUAAUAUCAAAGAAGUUGCAUUGAAAAUUUUGCAAAACGGUGUGGCUACAGUUCCUAUAAUUCAUUCACCUUCAGAGGAUGGAUCAUGCCCGCAGCUACUACAUCUAGCUUCUCUAUCUGGAGUACUAAAAUGUCUUUGUCGGUAUUUCACGCACUCACCAGGGUCAUUACCAGCACUUCAAAUGCCAAUUUGUGCAAUCCCAGUUGGAACUUGGGUUCCCAGAAUUGGAGAACCAAAUGUUCGGCCAUUGGCUGUGUUGAGGUCGAGUGAUUCCCUUAGUGCAGCACUGAAUUUGUUAGUUCAAGCUCGAGUAAGUUCAAUUCCCAUUGUUGAUGAAAAUGAUUCAUUGUUGGAUGUUUAUUCUCGAAGGCAUUGCAGCUUGGAGAUGACCCUCAUUCAACUAAUGGAAACAGCAUUCAAAGAUGUUACAUGAGCUUGAGAUCCGAUCCCCUAUUUAAAGUUAUGGAGAAAUUAUCCAAGCCAGGUGUCAGACGGCUCAUUAUUGUGGAGGCUGGAAGCAAGCGCGUAGAAGGCAUUGUUUCGCUAAGCGAUAUUUUUAGGUUUCUCUUGGGGCUUUGAGAAAGCUGACAACUGCAUAUUUCAUCGUGGCACCAAAUUACUAAACCAAGGCCUGAUGAAAGUCAUAUUUUAUGCCAUCUGAUCUCUAUUCUUUUGUAAAUACAAUUGGAUUGGCCUUGAAUGCCCUGGUUUCUUAGGUCAAUAUGCUGAAGAAUUAGUGAUGUAAAUUGUAAUAUUUGGGGUUUUCCUGGAUUUUCUGGUUUCCCCUCUAGCUGUUAUAACCCAGGGCUCUGUGGUCAAUAUAGCUGCCAUUUUUGUGGAAAGAAAGUCUUGGAGCUGUUAACAGUUGGUCUUGUUUUGGCCCUAAAAUCAAAUCUUAAAACUUUAUCAAUCUGUGUAUAAAUGUUUUGAUUCAGAGAAUUUUCA